rnacentral:rRNA from 1 species
UAACGAAUCUUCCGCAAUGGGCGAAAGCCUGACGGAGCAAUGCCGCGUGUGGGAUGAAGCGCCUUCGGCGUGUAAACCACUGUCAGGGAACGGAACCAAUGAUUGUUCCCAAAGGAAGUGGCGACUAACUCUGUG